rnacentral:rRNA from 1 species
AGCAGCCGCGGUAAUUCCAGCUCCAAUAGCGUAUAUUAAAGUUGUUACAGUUAAAAAGCUCGUAGUUGAAUUUCGGGGUCAGUAGGCUGGUCGUGCCCCCGGUACGUACUGGUCUAACUGAUCCCUCCUUCCUGAAGAACCGUAAUGCCAUUAAUUUGGUGUUGCGGGGAAACAGGACUGUUACUUUGAAAAAAUUAGAGUGUUUAAAGCAAGCUAACGCUUGAAUACAUUAGCAUGGAAUAAUGAAAUAGGACGAUCGAUCCUAUUUUGUUGGUUUCUAGGAUUGACGUAAUGAUGAAUAGGGAUAGUUGGGGGCAUUAGUAUUCAAUUGUCAGAGGUGAAAUUCUUGGAUUU